CCUACGGGAGGCAGCAGUAGGGAAUCUUCCACAAUGGGCGAAAGCCUGAUGGAGCAACGCCGCGUGGGUGAAGAAGGUCUUCGGAUCGUAAAACCCUGUUGUUAGAGAAGAAAGUGCGUGAGAGUAACUGUUCACGUUUCGACGGUAUCUAACCAGAAAGCCACGGCUAACUACGUGCCAGCAGCCGCGGUAAUACGUAGGUGGCAAGCGUUAUCCGGAUUUAUUGGGCGUAAAGGGAACGCAGGCGGUCUUUUAAGUCUGAUGUGAAAGCCUUCGGCUUAACCGAAGAAGUGCAUCGGAAACCGGGCGACUUGAGUGCAGAAGAGGACAGUGGAACUCCAUGUGUAGCGGUGGAAUGCGUAGAUAUAUGGAAGAACACCAGUGGCGAAGGCGGCUGUCUGGUCUGCAACUGACGCUGAGGCUCGAAAGCAUGGGUAGCGAACAGGAUUAGAUACCCCGGUAGUC
rnacentral:rRNA from 1 species